CCCUUAGAUGUUCUGGGCCGCACGCGCGCUACACUGACGAAUGCAACGAGCUUAUAACCUUGGCCGAAAGGUCUGGGUAAUCUCCAAAUUUCGUCGUGAUGGGGAUAGAUUAUUGCAAUUAUUAAUCUUCAACGAGGAAUGCCUAGUAAGCGCAAGUCAUCAGCUUGCGUUGAUUACGUCCCUGCCCUUUGUACACACCGCCCGUCGCUCCUACCGAUUGAAUGGUCCGGUGAAGCGUUCGGACCGUGGCCUUUGGACGGUUCGCCGUCUGUUGGCUGCGGGAAGUUGGCUAAACCUUACCAUUUAGAGGAAGGUGAAGUCGUANCA
rnacentral:rRNA from 1 species